ensembl:snoRNA Gm25222 predicted gene, 25222
ACUGACCCUAGAAGCACUGAAGGUGUGGCUGGUGUGUCACAUGUGUGUCAGUAGGUGGCUGAAAAGAGACGCUAUGUCUAUGCUCAUUGUUCUGACUUGGUUAUGAGAAACAAACAGCUUUUAAAA